GGCUUCUUGAUCCUAUGUGUUGUAUUGAGUGUUGGUCACUGGUCUUUGGGAAGCUUGGACAGAAGUGGGGCAGCCAUGGAGCUGCUGACUGGGACUGGCCUGUGGCCCGUGGUCAUAGUCACAGUCAUCUUCAUAUUACUGGUGGACAUGUUGCACCGGUGCCAGCGCUGGACUUCUUGCUGCCCACCAGACCCUGUGCCAUGGCCUGUGCUGGGUAACCUGCUGCAGGUGGACCUGGAUAACAUGCCAUAUAACUUGUACAAGCUUCACAACCGCUAUGGUGACGUGUUCAGCCUGCAGAUGGGCUGGAACCACAUGGCCGUGAUCAACGGACUGAAGGUGUGGUCCUUGCUCCUUAUGGGCCUGAGUGGAAAGAGCAGAGGUGAUUCUCUGCGUCGACCCUGUGCAACUUCAGCCUGGGCAAGAAAUCACUGGAGCAGUGGGUGAUGGAAGAGGUUGGACACCUCUUUGAUGUCUUCACUGCCCAUGCUGGGAGUCCCCUCAAUCCUUACCCUCUCUUGGACAAAGCCGUGUGCAAUGUGAUUGUGUCUCUCAUUUAUGCCCAUCGCUUCGAGUAUGGAGACCCUGACUUCAUCAAGAUGCUAAAAAGGAGGCUGUAGACAAGAGAUUUGGAAAGAACACAUCUAGAAGUGUCCACCACAGUAAUAGGAGCCUGGAGAUUGACAUACAGCAAAAGGAAGUGAGAAGCUGACCAAGGUCAGGGCUUCUAGAAGCUGAGACCCUGGCCCUCUGCCCACAUGGAACAUCUGUGAGAUUUUCCAGGGUUGGCUGACAAAGUCUUCCCUGGGCAAAAGACAUUUCUCAUAAUGGUGGAUAAGCUGGUGACUGAGCACAAGAGGACCUGGAACUCGGACCAGCCGCCUCGAGACCUGACUGAUGCCUUUAUGGCUGAGAUGGAGAAGGCAAAGGGAAACCCUGAGAGUAGCUUCAAUGAUGCAAAUCUAUGUCUGGUUGUCCUUGACCUGCUGGGUGCUGCAACUGUGACCACCUCAACCACACUGUCCUGGGCCCUGCUGCUUAUGAUCCUGCAUCCGGAUGUGCAGUGUGAGCCUGGCUGGGGCUGUCAAGAAAGGAGGAGGAGGGUAGAGGCAAACUCCUUAAACUUACUUGGGACACUUGUAGAUCCCAGCAUUGAGUUAACCCAGACUGCAGUAAGUAUGGUUGCCUUAUUUCUCCCAUGGACCCAGCCCUUAACAGAGAGGUAGUGGAUGGACAAGGGGCACCCACUGAAGCAUCUUAACUGAUGGGAAAAUGUCCUUCCAGGCCAAGUACAACAGGAAAUCGAUGAGGUCAUUUGGUAUGUGUGGCUUCCAGAGAUGGCAGACCAGGUCUGCAUGCCCUUCACCAAUGCUGUCAUUCAUGAGGGCAUGACUCUCAUCUCCAACCUGUUCCGUGCUGAAGGAUGAGACUGUCUGGGAGAAGCCCCUUCGCUUCCAUCCUGAACACUUCCUGGAUGCCCAGGGCCACUUUGUGAAGCCUGAGGCCUUCAUGCCAUUCUCAGCAGGUGCCUCUAGGGUGCCUUCCUGCCUAUCUUUCCCUAGGGUGCCUUGGAGGGUGGAGCACCAAUCAGGUCCCAGACUGAGCCCUCUUCUACACAUAGGCCACAGAUCAUGCCUGGGGGAGCCCCUGGCCCUCAUGGAGCUCUUCCUCUUCUUCACCUGCCUCCUGCAGCGCUUUAGCUUCUCAAUGCCAGCUGGACAAUCCCUUCCCAGUGAUUAUGGCAUCUAUACAAUGCCAGUUACUCCAGCACCUACCAGCUCUGUGCAGUGGUUUGCUAGCAGGGGCAGUGGCUCCAGCCAUCAUCACAGAUUGUUCUGACUGAUGUCCAAUAAACAAGUUUUGUGUCUGAAUCUCAGAUUCUAAGUCCAA
rnacentral:lncRNA from 1 species